rnacentral:misc_RNA from 1 species
GAUGAAGAACGCAGCGAAAUGCGAUAAGUAAUGAGAAUUGCAGAAUUCAGUGAAUCAUCGAGUCUUUGAACGCACAUUGCGCCCCCUGGUAUUCCGGGGGGCAUGCCUGUCCGAGCGUCAUUGCUGCCCUCAAGCACGGCUUGUGUGUUGGGCCUCCGUCCUCCUCCCGGGGGACGGGCCCGAAAGGCAGCGGCGGCACCGCGUCCGGUCCUCGAGCGUAUGGGGCUUCGUCACCCGCUCUUGUAGGCCCGGCCGGCGCUUGCCGACACAUCAAUCUUUUUUCCAGGUUGACCUCGGAUCAGGUAGGGAUACCCGCUGAACUUAAGCAUAUCAAUAAGCGGAGGA